rnacentral:rRNA from 1 species
GCAUAUCAAUAAGCGGAGGAAAAGAAACCAACAGGGAUUGCCCUAGUAACGGCGAGUGAAGCGGCAACAGCUCAAAUUUGAAAUCUGGCUCCUUUCGGGGCCCGAGUUGUAAUUUGUAGAGGGUGCUUUGGCGUUGGGCAUGGUCUAAGUUCCUUGGAACAGGACGUCACAGAGGGUGAGAAUCCCGUACGUGGCCAUUGACCUCCGCCGUGUAAAGCCCCUUCGACGAGUCGAGUUGUUUGGGAAUGCAGCUCUAAAUGGGAGGUAAAUUUCUUCUAAAGCUAAAUAUUGGCCAGAGACCGAUAGCGCACAAGUAGAGUGAUCGAAAGAUGAAAAGCACUUUGGAAAGAGAGUCAAAAAGCACGUGAAAUUGUUGAAAGGGAAGCGCUUGCAGCCAGACUUGCCCGUAGUUGCUCAUCCAGGCUCCGGCCUGGUGCACUCUUCUGCGGGCAGGCCAGCAUCAGUCCAGGCGGUCGGAUAAAGGCCUUGGGAAUGUAGCUCUCUUCGGGGAGUGUUAUAGCCCAGGGUGUAAUGCGGCCAGCCCUGGACUGAGGUCCGCGCAUCUGCUAGGAUGCUGGCGUAAUGGCUGUAAGCGGCCCGUCUUGAAACACGGACCAAGGAGUCUAACAUCUAUGCGAGUGUUUGGGUGUCAAGCCCGAGCGCGCAAUGAAAGUGAACGGAGGUGGGAACCCGCAAGGGCGCACCAUCGACCGAUCCUGAUGUCUUCGGAUGGAUUUGAGUAAGAGCAUAGCUGUUGGGACCCGAAAGAUGGUGAACUAUGCCUGAAUAGGGUGAAGCCAGAGGAAACUCUGGUGGAGGCUCGCAGCGGUUCUGACGUGCAAAUCGAUCGUCAAAUUUGGGCAUAGGGGCGAAAGACUAAUCGAACUAUCUAGUAGCUGGUUCCUGCCGAAGUUUCCCUCAGGAUAGCAGUAACGUUUUCAGU